rnacentral:hammerhead_ribozyme from 1 species
AUUCAGUUGAAGAGUCCAAAAAAGGACGAAACUCACGUCCUAUAU